rnacentral:ncRNA from 1 species
AGAUUUGGUCAUAGAGCGUGACCAAGUAAAACUAAAGAAAAGCUCACUGAGA